UACGGAGGGUGCAAGCGUUAUCCGGAGUUACUGGGCGUAAAGGGCGUGUAGGCGGACCUAUAAGUCUAUUCUGAAAGCUCCUGGCUAAACUGGGAGAGGCGAAUGGAGACUGUAGAUCUAGAGUGAGGAAGAGGAAAGUGGAAUUCCGCGUGUAGUGGUGAAAUGCGUAGAGAUGCGGAGGAACACCGAUGGCGAAGGCAGCCCCCUGGGCUAGCACUGACGCUCAGGCACGAAAGCGUGGGGAGCAAACAGG
rnacentral:rRNA from 1 species